AGUUGGUGGAGUGAUUUGUCUGGUUGAUUCCGUUAACGAACGAGACCUUUGUCUUUUGUUUUGGCUCUAUGUUUUCUUUUGAAAGCUAGGCAAUCAAGAGAGACCAGCGGGUCUCAACCCGCAGGAAGUUAAAGGCAAUAACAGGU
rnacentral:rRNA from 1 species